GAUGAAGAACGUAGCGAAAUGCGAUAAGUAGUGUGAAUUGCAGAAUUCAGUGAAUCAUCGAAUCUUUGAACGCACAUUGCGCCCUUUGGUAUUCCUUAGGGCAUGCCUGUUCGAGCGUCAUUUAAACCUUCAAGCUAAGCUUGGUGUUGGGUGACUGUCCGCCUCACGGCGGACUCGCCUCAAAAUUAUUGGCGGCCGGUACAUUGGCUUCGAGCGCAGCAGAAACGCGAACUCGGGCCCGUCGUAUUGGCUCCCAGAAGCUAUCUUCACAAUUUUGACCUCGGAUCAGGUAGGGAUACCCGCUGAACUUAAGCAUAUCAAUAAGCGGAUGA
rnacentral:misc_RNA from 1 species